ensembl:lncRNA
GAAGGGACCAAUGCCAGGAAUACAACUCUAGUAGUGUCGCACUUUAUUGUUCAGAAUGUUCGCAGGACAUGCUACUGAGGAGAUGGGCCAUAGGUUAUGUCCGGUCAGGUUUAUGAGAAUGGCUGGCACCAUGUGGGAAACAAUGACCAGGGCUCUCUUGACUUCAAGGCCUUCAAACCUCAACAGUAAAAAGUGACUGCAGUGGAUGGUGAUCUUAUUAUCUCAGUUAUACAGAGAUCUCUUUAAUUGUGUGCAUGUUGGAGGGUUCAAUCAAUUACGUUUAUUGAACUCAGGAUCUGAGUGCCUUAGACUGCUGCGCCACACGGGAGCCCAAGUAACAUAACUAUGUAGGUCUAGGCUAGAUCAUCAAUCUACUCAUAUUGUCAUUGGAUGUAUGGGGAGUUUGUGUUUACUGUGCAAGAAUGUACACGUCUGGAGCUGCAUAGGCUAUGUCCUGAUAUGAAGUGGUGGACAAAGUUUGUUGGAUACGUUUUCAUCCACGUACCUUCACAUUUCUUAUUUUUCAGUAGAACAAAGGUGAAACAUCGAUGGGGCCAAAAUAAGGUGAGUAGUAUACACAACACCUAACAAAUAGAACACCUAUGAUAGUAAUAUACACAUUUCUAAGAGUGCCACAAACUGCUGAGCCAUAUGGUGUUAGAUUUCAGGGAUGGAUGGCGAAGGCUUCUUCCCAUACAGCCACAACAACAGCAGUGAGCAGGCAUACAGACCAGACCAGGGCACUUACCUUGCCAGAGAGAGAGAUUAGGGUUUAGGAAGUGGAGCAGGACAUUGAGAUGACAUGGCUAAAUUUAACGCAGUGCCCAGUGAAUGAUGGGUAUAAAUCGCUGACAGGAAGGAUUCCAGCUCCAGGUUGCAUGCAUCUUUAGUGACUGCAUGUCACUGAGAACACUGUCAACACAACACCACAUCACUGGAAGCACUGUCAACACAACACAGCACAUCACUGGAAGCACUGUCAACACAACACUGCACAUCACUGGAAGCACUGUCAAUACAACACUACACAUCACUGGAAGCACUGUCAACACAACACUGCACAUCACUAGAAGCACUGUCAAUACAACACUGCACAUCACUGGAAGCACUGUCAAUACAACACUGCACAUCACUGGAAGCACUGUCAAUACAACACUGCACAUCACCGGAAGCACUGUCAACACAACACUGCACAUCACUGGAAGCACUGUCAAUACAACACUGCACAUCACUGGAAGCACUGUCAACACAACACUGCACAUCACUGGAAGCACUGUCAAUACAACACUGCACAUCACUGGAAGCACUGGCAAUACAACACUGCACAUCACUGAGAACACUGUCAAGGCAACACUGCACAUCACUGGAAGCACUGUCAAUACAACACUGCACAUCACUGAGAACACUGUCAAGGCAACACUGCACAUCACUGGAAGCACUGUCAAUACAACACUGCACAUCACUGAGAACACUGUCAAGGCAACACUACACAUCACUGGAAGCACUGUCAAUACAACACUGCACAUCACUGGAAGCACUGUCAAUACAACACUGCACAUCACUGAGAACACUGUCAAGGCAACACUGCACAUCACUGAGAACACUGUCAAUACAACACUGCACAUCACUGAGAACACUGUCAAGGCAACACUGCACAUCACUGGAAGCACUGUCAAUACAACACUGCACAUCACUGAGAACACUGUCAAGGCAACACUACACAUCACUGGAAGCACUGUCAAUGCAACACUGCACAUCACUGAGAACACUGUCAAGGCAAGACUACACAUCACUGGAAGCACUGUCAUAACAACACUGCACAUCACUGAGAACACUGUCAAGGCAACACUACACAUCACUGGAAGCACUGUCAAUACAACACUGCACAUCACUGGAAGCACUGUCAAUACAACACUGCACAUCACUGGAAGCACUGUCAAUACAACACUGCACAUCACUGAGAACACUGUCAAGGCAACACUACACAUCACUGGAAGCACUGUCAAUACAACACUGCACAUCACUGGAAGCACUGUCAAUACAACACUGCACAUCACUGGAAGCACUGUCAAUACAACACUGCACAUCACUGAGAACACUGUCAAGGCAACACUACACAUCACUGGAAGCACUGUCAAGGCAACACUGCACGUCAUCGUCAAUAUAACACAAAUCUGUCUUUUCUUUAUACAGUGACUAGUUUAAAUUGUGCGUCAUGCAUACUGGGCAUUCAUUGCACACAAAUUGCCACCAGCUGUCUAUGAUGCAAAUAUGGAAUGGCCUGUAUAGGAUUUGCCUUAUAUAUUGGUAUUACAAUAAAGAAAUAGGAAUAUUCAUGUGUUAUAGGCAUUACCAUAUUAAAUGAAUCUUCCAUUACAAUUGAUUGAGAUCAUAGUUCUUACUGCACUACGCUCACUGCAUAUGUAUUGCAUUGAUUUGAUCUUGGUUCAGGUAGUACAUUAUAUACCAGUAGCAGGGGGAGGAACCUGAACCUGGCCUCAACCUGGUAAACCCUCACAUCAUUGGCCUCCUGCUUCUGUUCCAAGUGUUACUUUGUGCUGUGUUGUUUAGUCUGGGUAUCUACUGACUGAGAGGAGACCAGAUCUCUGAUCAGUACUCCUGCAUGUACCAUGUCUCCUCAGAGAACACAUUAGCCUAGACUGUACCAUGGUAAAUAAUAGUUUUAAACUAGUAAAAACGGACUUCUUCCAGACAGAAUAGAUCCUGUAGGUUCAGACUUACUCGUCAACCAAUUUUUUGUUGUCUCAUGGGUUUAAUAAUCAACACAUACAACUCCCAUG